GAUGAAGAACGUAGCGAAAUGCGAUAAGUAAUGUGAAUUGCAGAAUUCAGUGAAUCAUCGAAUCUUUGAACGCACAUUGCGCCCAUUAGUAUUCUAGUGGGCAUGCCUGUUCGAGCGUCAUUAAUUCCACUUAAGCCCUGCUUAGUGUUGGGAAUCUACUCUAGUGGUGCUACCCUGGAGCUACCCCUGAAAGGGGGCUGGCCCGGUAGCUACCCUGUAGUUCCUCAAAGAUAGUGCGCGGAGUUGCGUGGUCCUCUGAGCUUAGUAACUAUACACCUAGCUUUUGAGUGUGCCGCGGCGCCUGCCGUUUAAACCCCAUCUUUUAAUGGUUGACCUCGGAUCAGGUAGGAAUACCCGCUGAACUUAAGCAUAUCAAUAAGCGGAGGA
rnacentral:misc_RNA from 1 species